rnacentral:rRNA from 1 species
UACAGAGGGGGCAAGCGUUGUUCGGAAUUACUGGGCGUAAAGGGCGCGUAGGCGGCCUGCUAAGUCGAACGUGAAAUCCCUGGGCUCAACCCAGGAACUGCGUCCGAUACUGGUUGGCUUGAAUCCGGGAGAGGGAUGCGGAAUUCCAGGUGUAGCGGUGAAAUGCGUAGAUAUGUGGAGGAAUACCGAUGGCGAAGGCAGCCCCCUGGGUCGACACUGACGCUCAUGCACGAAAGCGUGGGGAGCAAACAGG